rnacentral:rRNA from 1 species
UACGUAGGGGCCUAGCGUUGUCCGGAAUUAUUGGGCGUAAAGAGCUCGUAGGCGGUUCGGCAAGUCGGAUGUGAAAUCUCCACGCUUAACGUGGAGGGGCCAUUCGAAACUGCUGUGACUGGAGUCCGGUAGGGGAGUGUGGAAUUCCCGGUGUAGCGGUGAAAUGCGCAGAUAUCAGGAGGAACACCGAUGGCGAAGGCAGGUCUCUGGGCAUUAACUGACGCUGAGGAGCGAAAGCAUGGGGAGCGAACAGG